CCUACGGGUGGCAGCAGUGAGGAAUAUUGGUCAAUGGGCGCGAGCCUGAACCAGCCAAGUAGCGUGAAGGAUGACUGCCCUACGGGUUGUAAACUUCUUUUAUAAAGGAAUAAAGUGAGGCACGUGUGCCUUUUUGUAUGUACUUUAUGAAUAAGGAUCGGCUAACUCCGUGCCAGCAGCCGCGGUAAUACGGAGGAUCCGAGCGUUAUCCGGAUUUAUUGGGUUUAAAGGGUGCGUAGGCGGCCUUUUAAGUCAGCGGUGAAAGUCUGUGGCUCAACCAUAGAAUUGCCGUUGAAACUGGGGGGCUUGAGUAUGUUUGAGGCAGGCGGAAUGCGUGGUGUAGCGGUGAAAUGCUUAGAUAUCGCGCAGAACCCCGAUUGCGAAGGCAGCGUACCGGCUCCACACUGACGCUGAGGCACGAAAGCGUGGGUAUCGAACAGGAUUAGAUACCCCAGUAGUC
rnacentral:rRNA from 1 species